rnacentral:pre_miRNA from 1 species
AUAUGAAUCACAUGGAGGACUUGUUAAAAUGCAGAUCCUCAUUGAGUCUGGGGUGAGGCCCGAAAUGCUAAACUUCUAACAAGUUCUCAGGAAAUGUCGUC